AUAAUGGUGGGACCCGAUUACUAUGGGGUGACGCCUUUUAUAAGAGGCAGAGUCAGUGAAGACCUUCUCGUUUUGUAGCACACAGGGAAGAGGCCACAGAGGCCACAGAAGAAAGGAAGCUGUCUGAAUGCCAGGAAGAGAAGACUCAUACAAAUACAUCCUGACUAAUAUGGGCUUACAGCCAUUCCAGAUUCUCUCCACGAGGCUGGUUUUCAUCUUCCUAUAGUGUUACAAGCAUGAUGUCGCUCUCAAUGACUCCUUUGUAGAAAGAGCACAGAGAAGCCAGUGAGAAGCACAUCAAGUUGCUAAAACAGUUCAAACUAUUUUACUGACAUCAGCUCAGCAUGAAAAAAUGAAGUCUGUGAGACAGAGACUGUCCUAGUGGACUAAAGGAAAAUACUACAAUAGCCACAAGAUUGAAAUGAAGCCUCAGCUCAACAGCUCAAGCAGGUGCAUUCAGUGCUACUUUUUAUAUAAAAUUCACAUCUUCUCUUUCAUUUGAGGAAAUCCAGCAUAGAGUUGGGAAAAUGAGCUUGGCAACUGAUCCCUUAUGAAAAUGUGAAAUACAAAAUGUAUUCUACUCCCUUUAUAUUAAGUUUUCCAGUUACAAAAGGAGACUUAUUUUUCUACAUUUUGAACACUGAGGAUGAGAUUCCACUCUGAUCGUGGUGUGAAUAUAAACCAGGAGGAUGCUGACUAGGUGACCAGGUCCCCAGACAAGACUCCGACCACAAGCUUCAGUGACCCUGCUUGGCAGAGCACAGCAUCCAAUACUAAAAGUAAAUAUAAAGCCAAAGAGAUUACAGGAAAGUCAUCUUGAGGCCCGUGCCAUGGGCCUUGUAAGCAGAAGCACUUCUCUCCUCCCCUACAAGCUUCCAUAUUUCUUUCUGAAGCACUGUUUAAACCUCUAGGCACAUCAUAACUUCAAGAUCCCUUCAAAAGGGUGAGGAUUAACAUGAAAGAAAGACAUACACAGGAUACAGUGUGCCAUCUACUUUGAGAAAAAUCUACUCUGUGGCUCUUUGGGAGUCAUCCAUACCCUACUAUAUUAUCCAGUAUAAAACACAAAACACGUUCCAACCUCAGGCAUUAAGAUGAAUAUUUAGCAACUGUCUGGAAUAAACUCCAACAGCAGCAGUGGCUCCAACAGCCUCUGUAGCUGACACUAAUUUAUUGAGAUGUAUUGGGAGCUCUUGAGAAUGAAGAGUCUGCUAAUUAGGCCACCACAAAAAAAGUUCCCAAACUUCGACAAACUUCAGGCAAACAUCUGAUGAAGAACUUUGAUUUAUGAGCUGUCCAGGUGAAACCAAAACAGAUGGUAUCUUUUAAUAAUAACUGACAUAUGAGUUUGUUAAGAAAUUGAAUGGCUUGAAAAUAUGCUGCUUGGUAUAGGAAAAUGAAGAAAGUAUUCAGAGUCAUCUACCUUAUCUUUGUCUUCAACAACAUCUGCUAAGACAUCAUCCGGAUCCAGGAUUCCUCCAUCUGUGUAUUCUAAGUGAUGAAUCUUCACCCAGUAUCCAGGAUCCUGUGGUGGAACAAGCAAAUCUGAUGACUCAAUCUAUUUCUACCAAAGUAAGACACAUUUUAACAGAGAUGAUUAAUCUCAAUAAAGAUACGGUAUAUUGAUUGUUAUAGCUAUGGUUCCUAUUGCUGUGAGAAAAUACCAUAUCCAAAACUAAAGUGAGGAGUCAAAGGUUUAGUUUGUCUUACAACUCUCAAGCCACAAUUAGUCACUGAUGGAAGUCAAAGCAGACACUCAACAGGACUGAAGUCUGGAAGCCGGACCUGAAGUCGGACACUGUGAAGCAGUGCUGCUUACUGGCUUGCUCCCCAGAGCUUGCUCGGCCAUAGCUUGCUUCUUAUGGCACUCAGAACUACCUGCCCCAGAGGAAGGUGCCCUUAGUGAGCUCGGCCCUCCUACAGUAAUAAAUAAUCAAGAAAAAGUACUACUGGCCUUCCUACAGGCCAAUCUUAUAGAGAUAUUUUUCUCUAUCAAAGUCCCUCUUCUCACAUAUAUCUAGAGUUGUGUCAAGUUGGAACACCAAUAAAACUUUUAAGGUUUGAAGAAGGGAGAAAUACAGCACAGCCAUCCUUCCAGGAGACUCUACAGUCUACAACAGCAGAACCUUUCUCAGUACUCCACAAGGAACUGGAGGUUGGAAGAAGGUGCUAGAGAUGGAUGUUGAUGCUGGGCACACAGCUGCUAACCCUUCGACCAUGGUUACUGUCACUGCAACAAGGCUUCUGAAGACAUCAGAAAGAGGAUAAAAAGUCGGAGAUGGUGCAGAAAUA
rnacentral:lncRNA from 1 species